GAGAAGAUUACUAUCAUCUUCUUUUCAAUGGUGUGUCUUCUCUUGACAUAUAACUAUCUCCACCGUCUGCAAUUGAACAUUAUGUUUCAAAUAAAGUCCAAGAUCAUAUAGGUAGUGCUCGUAGAUAUACUCAGCGAGUGGAUUUGCAUAACCCUGUCUUAUGAUAACGUGAGGUUGUAUGUCAUUAGACAUCUUGUAUGAUAGUGAUAAAAUACCCUUCCAAAGUUGGGUUCUCCUCACCCUAUUGUUGUUCAUCAAAAUCAAUUAUUAAGUGACGUAUAAUAUACGACACACAUAUCUUAGGUCCUCAAUACAAUUAUAUAUUGUAUGUCAUGC
rnacentral:lncRNA from 1 species